UACAGAGGGUGCAAGCGUUAAUCGGAAUUACUGGGCGUAAAGCGCACGUAGGCGGUUUUUUAAGUCAGAUGUGAAAGCCCCGGGCUCAACCUGGAAAUUGCAUUUGAAACUGGGGAACUAGAGUGUGUGAGAGGGGGGUAGAAUUCCAAGUGUAGCGGUGAAAUGCGUAGAGAUUUGGAGGAAUACCAGUGGCGAAGGCGGCCCCCUGGCACAACACUGACGCUCAGGUGCGAAAGCGUGGGGAGCAAACAGG
rnacentral:rRNA from 1 species